rnacentral:lncRNA from 1 species
AAAAAAAGCAGAUCAACCCUGACAACCUGACCUUCAAGUCCGGUCAUUCCUCCUCGCAGCCUGCUCCAGCACAGCUGUUCUGCCCUCUUUGGAGGACUCACCCUCAGGGAGAGUUGUUUGGGCAACUGCAGAGCUGAAAGGUGGAUGGAAAGAAACAGGAGCUCCCGAGAGCCUGGAGGCCCCUCAGGCGGCGACAGAGAGUGGGCGGCCAGGCCUGAGAGUGGCGCUGGGCGGGCUCCCUGGUUGUUCAGGUCAAGGGUGCACAGGAAGCCCAUGACCCACUUUCGUGAAAAGAGGAAGCCCACUCUCGGCCCUGGCCUUGAGAUGAGCCUCAAAAUGUGGGGUCAUGUGUAUCACAUCACAUCUCCAGAGGAACCGCCAGGCAGACGGAUCUGCCUUCAGGAUGUCUGGAAACAGCCCACCACUGGCAGAGCAAGCGGGCACUCGCACGCCUUCAGAGACUUCUUCCCUCCCCACGUGCCAUGGAGUUGAAGCAUUUUAUUUAAAUCAUUUUCAUUAGCAGUUAAUAUUGCAGAUGCGCGUGGAAGACCCAUUUCCAGGUCACCUGGGGAAAGAAUGGACAGUGCGGCUUCCCGCUGGGACGUUUCCCCUGUGUGUUCCAAACACAGAAAGAGGAAGAAAGCUUUGAGUUUUUAUGGAGCAAGCAUAGCAGUGACACCAAGGAGAUGUGCAGAAAGCAAGCUAUGAACUCAUGUGAUGUGUGAAGAGCAAUGUGAGAAUCCUAAAUAGAUUAUUAGCAGACAGAAUCCAGCAGUGUUAGAGAGUUACAUCCCCAGACUAAGUGUUUUCCAUGAAGUAGGGAUGGCUCCCUGUUAGGUCUAUUGACGUAAAUCACCAUUUAAUACCACAAAAGAGAAAAAGAACAUGGCCAUCUCUGUAGAUGCUGACAAACAUUGGAUGAAGUUCAACAUCCAUUCUAUUUUUAAAAUUCUCCUGAUAAAAUAGAAAUUGAUGAAUGCUUCUUUAAUGUUAUAAAUGAUCUCUGUCUCAGCCUGAAAGACCACAUCUUGGGGAAACACUGGAAACAUUCCCCCCAAAGUUGUGAAGACGCCAGACAUUCCCACCCCAUGUGGUCCUCACAUGUGUGGGAGGCACUGGCCUGUGCCUUUAUCAAGAGAGAGAAGCUGGAAGUACCAAAAUGGGAAAGCGUGAGAUAAAGUGAUAAUCACUUAUGGAUAUUUUAUUGCAUAUCUGGAAAACUCUAGAGAAGCAACUGAAAAAAGUGAACAAAAAUCUAAGGAUUUGGCAAAGUAUAAAAUUAGGAUAUGGAAAUUGGCAGCCUUUCUAUCUAGAAACGAGAACCACUAGGAAAUAUGAUCAAAGAAAAGACAACAUCAAAAAAAGGUAAAACAUCUGAGAAUGUGGUUAGAGGAAAUGUGGAAACUCUACAGCAGGAAGACUUCACGGCCUCCGGGGCUGCGCUGGCUGGGACGAGGGGACCAGCGGGCUGUGCUGGAAGGGAAGACUUGUCAAGAUGCCGGUUUUCACUAAGUUCAUCUACAGUUCCAGCCAGACCACUGACCCACUGCCCCAGAGCAGCCGGCGAACACGGAGUUGGUGGGAAUCGGGGCGCUGACGGCUGACCCGGGCAGCGUGACCUCGGGCGGUGCUUUUCAAGUCUCGGAAGCAGGACGUGAGCAUCCCUUCUGUGUUUGCGCCUCGUCAUACAUCCAGGGGAGAGGUGCUUGUCCCUGCGGAUUAAUUCCCAGAGAAAAUACUGCAAUUCAGAAGCACAGGCUUAAGUCCCUUUUCCCUAUUUACAAAUUAAAAAGGCACCGAGACACCCUAACUGCAUUUCCUGGUAACUUAUUCAGAGCUGUUACAACUGUCUGCACGCACUGCCGCAGGAUCCAGACAGUGCCAGGGCGCUGAGCAGGACGGCCCCUCAGGGUCCUCAGUGGGGUCUUUUCUGCACACCUCUGAAUGUUCCAGGUCCCCUGAGACUCAGGAACGGCGGCCGUCUCCCUCAUCAUGGUGAGAAUGUGUA